CCGGUCCGUGUCCGUGUCCCUGUCCAUGUCCAUGUCCCGUCCCAGCGCCUCCCCGCGGGCAGUGCCCGGGCGCGGGCACGGCCUUUGCAAAGCCCCCGGGAGCCGUUCUGUUGGGCUGUUGCUGCCUGCUCCGUCGGGGUCGGGUCUCCGCCCGCUUGCUCGGGGUCGCCCCUCACGUCCGGGCGGCGGCCUCAGCACGGGGCGUGGGUUGGCGGCUGCGGCCUGGCUUUAGUCGGACGAGGCGAAGAAAAAUCUCUUGAGACCCUGUCUGACAAUCCCGUGCCCCCCUUCCUUUCCCACUGCCUUCCUGAAUUCCGCUCUGCAGGACUCCUCCGGGCAUCGGGUGUGCAUGUGGCCGGCAGAUGGAAUUUCACCUGCUCACGAGCUGCUCUGCAGCGAGGGCUGACAGCUCUGUGCCCCGCCAAAGGAGAGGCUCCGGGGGCCGGGACAGGGCUCCCAGAGCCCCGGCCGUGAGGGGAAGCUCGGGGGAGCCGCAGAGCCGGAGCUCCGCCGGUGGAGCCGGUGCCUGCUGCAGCCUCUGCAAGGCAGACGAGAAAGGGACCCCAAAGCUACAUUCAGACAAAAAGAGGAAAAAAAAAAAAGUCCCAAUCUUCGUAUACUAGGGAAGGGGUUAGGGCAGAAAAAGGUCAUUAAAAGAAUGCCACCCUUGUAGUUAUUUCGGUGCUGGGUGGUUUCAAGCUCUAUCCAGCCCCGUUUUACAGAGACAAGGACAGAAACUACCCUAGCCCCCUCAAAAAUUGCAUUUUCUUCUGAAUACCAGCUAAGGCCUAUUAAAAAUAUAUAAGAUUUUUUUUGCUACUGGCUUUCCCUGACUCUUCUAGAUAAUUCCUGCUCCAGCCUACUUUCUGUUUUUCCUUAAGCUGUGGCUUUUAUUUGUAUUUAGUCUUUCAUGAAGGGCUGUUUGAGUUCUACAAUCACUUUAGACACUUCAAAAGUCAGGGGCUCCCUAUUCAUUUUUGCCAACAGCCCAGCUCCCUGCUCCUGUGUCUGCGCUGCCUGUGGCCUGUGCCAGCGUGAACAUUUGUGAAAUCAGGCGAUAAAUGGGAUUGAACUGAGAGGACCAGAGAACAACCUGCUUUCCUUCCGUUUUGCUGAUCCAGUUCACCAGCAUAAUAAAUGUGUCAGCGUGGCACUGAGGACAGCACAGACAGCUGAGAACAGACACAGCUUAAAUGGUCUUGUUCUGCUGCAAGUGCACACCCAGGCAUUGAGUUGCUUUGCCAUUUAGUGCCUGUUCAGUGUCUCCUGACACCCCUGACACCUCCAAAACUGGAACUCUGUGUCUCAGUGGGUAAUUCUAUGAGUCAUCUUGUCAUAAACCUGGGCUGGACCACGGUGUUUUGUCUCCAGCAAGGGCUGGGUUUGUGGCAUUAUGGUAUAAUGUGACAGCAUUUUUUGGUUUCUCUUCACCAAAUCCUUCUCAAAUCCAUUGUUUCCAGUGACAUGUUUGAGGUGUCAUUUUUAUUUGCAUGUUUGUGGUAUUUUAACUCAUUAUUUUUUCAACAGUGAAAGCCCAAUAAACUUCAUAUAUGUAA